rnacentral:rRNA from 1 species
CCUGGCUUAGGAUGAACGCUAGCUACAGGCUUAACACAUGCAAGUCGAGGGGCAGCAUCAGGUUAGCUUGCUAACCUGGAUGGCGACCGGCGCACGGGUGAGUAACGCGUAUCCAACCUUCCCCCUGCUCAGGGAUAGCCCGGUGAAAACCGGAUUAAGACCUGAUAGUUUCACUAGAUGGCAUCUGACGGUGAAUAAAGGUUUCGGCAAGGGAUGGGGAUGCGUCUGAUUAGCUUGUGGCGGGUAACGGCCCACCAAGGCAACGAUCAGUAGGGGUUCUGAGAGGAAGGUCCCCCACAUUGGAACUGAGACACGGUCCAAACUCCUACGGGAGGCAGCAGUGAGGAAUAUUGGUCAAUGGGCGGAAGCCUGAACCAGCCAAGUAGCGUGCAGGAUGACGGCCCUAUGGGUUGUAAACUGCUUUUGUAUGGGAAUAAAGUCAGGGACGCGUCCCUGUUUGCAUGUACCAUAAGAAUAAGGACCGGCUAAUUCCGUGCCAGCAGCAGC